rnacentral:rRNA from 1 species
CCUACGGGAGGCAGCAGUGAGGAAUAUUGGUCAAUGGGCGUGAGCCUGAACCAGCCAAGUAGCGUGAAGGAUGACUGCCCUAUGGGUUGUAAACUUCUUUUAUACAGGAAUAAAGUGCGGCACGUGUGCCGUUUUGUACGUACCUUAUGAAUAAGGAUCGGCUAACUCCGUGCCAGCAGCCGCGGUAAUACGGAGGAUCCGAGCGUUAUCCGGAUUUAUUGGGUUUAAAGGGAGCGUAGAUGGGUUGUUAAGUCAGUUGUGAAAGUUUGCGGCUCAACCGUAAAAGUGCAAUUGAUACUGGCAGUCGUGAGUACAGAUGAGGUAGGCGGAAUUCGUGGUGUAGCGGUGAGAUGCUGAGAUAUCACGAAGGACGCCGAUGGCGAAGGCAGCUUACGAAAUGGCCAAGGA